rnacentral:rRNA from 1 species
GAUGAACGCUGGCGGCGUGCUUAACACAUGCAAGUCGAACGAUGAAGCCCACUUGUGGGUGGAUUAGUGGCGAACGGGUGAGUAACACGUGAGUAACCUGCCCUUGACUCUGGGAUAAGCCUGGGAAACUGGGUCUAAUACCGGAUAUGACCUUCCAUCGCAUGGUGGUUGGUGGAAAGCUUUUGUGGUUUUGGAUGGACUCGCGGCCUAUCGGCUUGUUGGUGGGGUAAUGGCCUACCAAGGCGGCGAGGGGUAGCCGGCCUGGGAGGGUGGCCGGCCACACUGGGACUGGGACACGGCCCAGACUCCUACGGGAGGCAGCAGUGGGGAAUAUUGCACAAUGGGCGGAAGCCUGAUGCAGCGACGCCGCGUGAGGGAUGACGGCCUUCGGGUUGUAAACCUCUUUCAGUAGGGAAGAAGCGAGGGUGACGGUACCUGCAGAAGAAGCGCCGGCUAACUACGUGCCAGCCGCCGCCGUAACAC